rnacentral:rRNA from 1 species
CAUUAAUAAAUUUAUAAAGAUACUAGUGUUGAAAGACCUAGUACUUUAACAAAUUUGUGAACUUUUUUAAAGUCUUUGGGUUGAAGUUAAAAUGUCAGCCCAAAAUUAUGUUAAACAAUUUUUUAAACUUAGUCUUUAUAAACUUUAAAUUUAAUUUAAAAACAACUUUUAACAACGGAUCUCUUGGUUCUCGCAACGAUGAAGAACGCAGCGAAAUGCGAUAAGUAAUGUGAAUUGCAAAAUUCCGUGAAUCAUCAAAUCUUUGAACGCACAUUGCGCUUCCUGGCAUUCCGGGGAGCAUAUCUGUUUGAGAAUCAGUAUUAAUCUCAAAUUAAAUUUAUUUUUAAUUUGGAAUUGAGACUUUACUUUAAUCGGUAUGUCUUUAAUUACAUUAAAUGUUUGUUACCAAAUGGUUAACAAAACUAAAGCAUGACCAAUGAGGGUUGCACCUCUAAUUGAUUGCCCAACGUUUGUUGACGGAAUUUUGGUUCUAAGUGUUUGAACUAAAUACGAAUCUAGUUUACUAGAUUUAAGACAUGAUCUCAAA